GAACCUCCCCUGGGGAACCAUCAGCUCCUGGUGUCACUGCCUUGGUGACCCUGGUGGAUCGCAGAACUCCUCCCUUUGCAGGCAGGUCAGAAGAAGACCAGUGACAGCGUCUGGGAUGAUUCCAGGGAGAGGCUGAUCAGUCGGGCCCAGGAUGGAUCUAGCUUCCCCGGAGAUGGCGGGAGGCCACCCAGCAUCUAAGCUGCAGCCUGGCAGACAACUGUUAGUGGCUGUGAUCUCAGCAAAGAGUAAUCCCUGUUUUGGGGAUCUCAGCACAGGUCCCAGGGAAAAGCAUGGCUGUCUUCGUAAAGAACCACCAACCCUGAAUGGACUGGAAGGACUGAGGCUGAAGCUGAAGCUCCAAUACUUUGACCAGCUGAUGCAAAGAGCCAACUCAUUGGAAGAAACCCUGAUGCUAGGAAAGACUGAGGUCAGGAGGAGAAGGGGACGACAGAGAAUGAGAUGA
rnacentral:lncRNA from 1 species